rnacentral:lncRNA from 1 species
AAACAACAAGCCAAAGGACAUCUCUCUCACACACACGUACGACACGGACGUACAUACGGAGAGAUUUUUUAUUCAGUAUACGACGUAGCAGUAUAUAUAGUAGACAACUCAUCAUCACCCGUAGAUAGAUAGAGACUCAAGCAUGGUCGUCGUCGAUGCUCCGGCGCCGACGACGGCGGCGGAAUGGAUCAUCGAUCGACGAUCAUCAGGUCGUCGUUUCGGUUUAGCUCACCCUGGAGCAGUCGGUGGAGGUGCUGAUGGUGUAGGGGAUGCUGACGCCGCACUUGGAGGGGAUGCUGGCGGCCUUGCCGACGUUGAGGCCGCGGAUGCCACGGGCGGCGUUCUUGAGGCAGUUGCAGGCGGCGCGCCUGUCGGCGGUGGUGCGGGCGGCGGAGUUGAGGCUCCUGACGCCGCUGCAGCAGCCUGCGGAGGGUCCAGAGCCCUGGCCGCGGGCGUAGGACAGGCAGGGCCCGAUGGCGGAGCUCACCUGACCGCAUGUCACGGCGGCCUCCGAGGUCGUCGCCGCCAGCACCACCGCCGCCACGACGGCGAUCGCCACAGCAAGCUUCAUGCUGCGAGCCAUGUCGAUCUCGAUCGACCUCCUGUGAUAUAUGUGCUGAUGCUCGUAGGUGACUGAUAGCUUUUGGGAUGCAGUGAGUGAGCAAGUGCUAGCUGGUGAGGAGAUUGCAAUGGAAUGUUGCUCCUUAAAUAGGCAGGCUUUGUGAUCGAUGUGUGAGCUAGCUAGCGAUUGCUGAUGAGUGAUGUGCAUGCAUGGGAUGGGUGUGCAUGCUGUUUCAGUCGGUGGAUGCAUGCAUAUGCGUAUAUGUCCAUGGAUCGAUGGUAUCUCUCGCCAUGCAUCGAAGUUAACUGCUGGGGAGGAGGUGGUUGGGUGUUGAGGGAGGAGGGCAGAUGCUUGUUUAGUUGUUGUAAUACCCGAUUUUAAGGACAAAACCAGAUAUGCACCAUAUGUGAGUUUUAAAAGCCAAAUCUCACAUAUAGCUACAAAUAAGGGGUAAUAUCAAAAGACAAUGCAAAAAUUAUAUAACGUACAUAAUAUAAAAGAGAUAACCUUUGAUAGCAAACAACGGAUAGACAACUCCAAACUCCGGGUAUUAACUUCUCUCUACAGGAUCCAACUGACUGGUUGAUCACAAGCCUAAACUUCUCCUGAGGUUUGGGGGAAAUAGCAAGAGUGAGUCCAUGUCAAACUCCACAAGUAUAGCAACUAGAUUGUAUAGCUCCCACAAUCUCAUGAUCAAUGUGACAUAAAUAAUGUAAAGCAUUAAACAAUAAGCAAUGAGCAUAUUUAACACACAAGAUUCAUCACCCUUAAUGUAGAUGUCCCCAAGGCCGUUCCUGACCGUGAGCUCGGCUAGUAUACUAGUUUUAACACUCUGCAGAGGUUGCACAUCUUUACCCAUGAGUCAUGAUUUACCCUUUCGCCCGAGGUGAUCAGCCUCUUAACCCACUUCCAAGGAAGGUCGGCAGGGAUCACUAUGAAGCCUUUCAAAAGUUCGUCUAACAUGUUAGGGCCGCAAGGUUUCCUUUGCGAGCAGAUAUAGAUACCCCCCUUCCGAAUGGCACAAUGACGCGCAGCCUAUACACAUAGGGACAGGGGCUCGCACUAUACCCGUGUCGGUUCAGCCCCUCCGCCCUUUCGGGUAACCUCUAACAAGCUAGAAAAGGUCUUCAUACUGAGCUAAAGCCAGAGCCAUUAUAGCCCUCAUGGUUGCACUGUUAUCCCGGGUGAUCACGUACAGACAAAUCAUCAAGUUGUUAAAAAGUCAUUUUUACCAUUUAUUACUUAACAUUAAUCUAGUCACAGGAUCAUGGUCACAGAAAUAAAAUCCAAAUGCUAUACUUGCCUCAAUCCAAUUGCUCUUGCUUAUCCUUUUGGUCCUGCUGGUCUCACUUGUUGCCAAAGCUUUGAUCUUGAUCACCGAAACUGCUCUCCGUCUAAACUCGAUCAUCGAUCAUCAACACACAAACAAUCGGACACAACAUACACGUAGCAAACAAGGCUAUAAUUAGAACAGUACACCAAUCAUAUAAAAACAAUAUGAAAAAUUUGUAAAAUAAUUCUACGCAUCGCUACGAUCUCACAGACGUAAAGAUGACGAAAAUCGGAGUUAAAACGGAAAAGAUAUGGAUUUUCUAAGAUUUUAUAUAGAAAAGUAAUUAAUUAAUUAAGGUCACGAAAUUAAAAGGUUUCAAACUGAGUGAACAAUAUUACUAACAUGUAGUGCUCGUGAUUACGAACCUAACACAAUUUCAAUGGACAAAACGGAGUUAAAACAGAGAUGAUAUGGCCUAAAUAAACUAGCGUAUUUUCUUUGUAUUUUUAGGUUUGUUUUUCUAAAGGAAAACGGCAAUAAAACAUGUCUAUGUUAUAACGACGUCAUCAAGCUAGCCAGCAACGUUUAUUCGCAGAUAUAUGUUAGACAUGUACAUCCCUAGAUCGAUUGCUGCGCAGAUAGAAACAUCGCCGGGCGAAACAAAUCAGUGCAUGCACUUGUAGAGGCUUUGUGAAAUUUCUCACACAGGAAUCGACAUAUUAAAGAUGCAAAGUUACCUCUUAUGGUGAUUAUAAGAUUCAAUAGGACAUGCUUGCCGAACGAUGGGUCAGUGGCCACGUCGUCAAGAACAGGUUGAUCUACGGCAACACCUUCUACUCCCGUGCUCUGUUGCUUGCUACUCUUCACGUGGCCAGCGAUUUGGUCUUCUGCUUCUUUGGUCCACAAUCACGAUGGUUCACCGGAACAUGGCAAGCAGCUCUGGCAAGCAGGACGUGGCAAGAGCAGAGCGGCGGCCGUAACAUGGCAAGGGCAGCAUCUAUCUAGGCAUGGCCGACGGCGGCGGCUCUCAAGGGUUUUAAGGACGUAAACACUCUAGACGAAUAUGACGUGUAUAUAUACGUGCGGUCUAGAUCAAGUUUGAUUAGGGUUAGAACUUAUUAUUUUUGGAAUUAAUUAUUUUCAUGGAUAAAAUAAUUAUAGAAAAGUCCAGAAUUAUUAUUUAAACUAUGAAAAAUAUUCUAAAAGCUCUGAAAAUUCGGAGAAAAUUCUCAGAGACAUUAUGGAAUAUGAGGAACUCAAAUAACGUAUUUGGACCUCAUGAUAAGAUAAUUUGGAGCAUCUAAAAAUUAGAUUUAUGCUCAUAGAAAAGUGAGAAUAGAAGAUGGAAAAAUUCCCGAAAAGUUUGUAGAGAUUGCUUGAUGGACGAGGAACUAAAAGAAGUGCUUUGAGUGACAAAGAAAAGAUUUUAGGAAGCUCCUAAUAAAAAAUUGAGCUGAGAAACCAAAGAAUUUGGUUAUAGAUAAAGAUAAAGACGUACUGGUCAAGGAAGAUCUACUAAACGCAUUUUAAAACUUUGCUCACUCAACACAUAAAGGAGCAACAAGUCAACAUCACAUCAAAACAUAUGCACCAGCAUGUAUGCACAACAAUAUUGCUAAGGCUUAUGAUAAAUUUUAAUUUAAUGAAAAUUAUUAUUUUCCUUAUAUUUUCGUGAGCACAAAAUACAAAACUGAAUAAAUUUUCAUCUAUUUUGAAAAGAGCAAAAUUUAGGGUGUUACAGUUGUCAAAAUUUUUUAAAAUUCUCAAUCAAAUUAAAUCUUGGGACACAAUGUAUCAAAUAUUAAAUAUAGAUAAAAAUUAAUUAAUUAUAUAGUUUGUAUAUAAUUUGCGAGAUAAAUUUUGUAAACCUAGUUAAUCUAUAAUUAAACAAAAAUUAUUAAAUAUAAACGGUGCUAUAGUAACUAGAUCCAAAAAUUUUCACCAACUAAGGGCUUGUACAACGAUGGGCGCUUAUGAUCAGGUAUUGGCCGUUAAAUAGUUUUUUUGCCACACGGUGGAGUCCUGAGCGGGCGCUUAAAAAUAGAUUUGCCGCUCCGUAAAGCAUCGACGCCUAGACCGGCUCCUUGCUUGAUACUGGUGUUUGCAUGCGACGUAACGGUCACAACUUAAGCGCCUUCAAAUACGUGUUGUGUUGUAGAUUAAGGUUAUAAAGAGACGCUUAGUUACAAAAGUAUUUUCUCUUUCCAUCUAAGCGCCUUUUGCAUUGUACGUGCUCUAAACAAGGCCACAGAUACAGACAUACAGUGGUUAGCUGAGGCAGAGUGAAAUCAUUAGCAGCAAACAUAUAAUAAAUAGCAGCCGCCUAGCACGACUUAGCGCCACUUAAGUUUUGUUUAGUUACGCUCGAAAUCCAAAAACUUUUCAAGGUUCUCUUCACGUCGAAUUUAGAGACACAUACAUGUAGCACGACUUAGCGCCACUUAAGUUUUGUUUAGUUACACUCGAAAUCCAAAAACUUUUCAAAGUUCCCUUCACGUCGAAUUUAGAGACACAUACAUGAAGCAUUAAAUAUAAAUAAAAAAAUAACUAAUUACAUAAUUUAUCUGUAAUUUGAGAGACGAAGCUUUUGAGUCUAGUUAGUCUAUAGUUGAACAAUAAUUAUCAAAUAUAAAAAAAAAUGUUAUAGUACCAAAAAAAUCUUUUCACUCACGAACUAAAUAAAGGCCCUAAUCUCAUCAUCCGCCUCACUGUUUAAUCGAAUGUCCUUGAUGGCCACCCACAGGCUCACAAAACCUGAGACGGUGAGACCUUGCCUGGGGUAGUAUAUGGGGCCAAUGGCCAAUCCAUUUAUCAGUUUGCCCAAGGCAGGUGGUGGGCCACUCUGUUCAAUUUUGAGUCUAAUAUAUGCAAUAUCUUCUCUUUUGUGCAAUUUUUGUCCGUGGGUUCAAACAAUCCUGCCACCGUGUCACCGGUGGCUGAUCGUGUCAACCCUUCGCCGCAGUCCGCUCCACCACAGUACGGGGGGCCCAGUUGCAGUCUCUGCCACCGCAGUAGGGAUGUUGAACUUGUAAUAAUAAAUAUGUGAGUGCUUUUAAUAUAUAAUGCAUGUUGGUGAUAUAGAUGUGAUAAUUGGCGUGUGUGUAUAUAUAUUGUCUGUUACAAUGGAAUGUAAAAAAUAAAACAAAUACAAUUCUCGGGGUCUUCGCCGAGUGCGGUGCCAGGGUCACUUGGCAAAGCAAUUUAAAAAAACAAUUUUGCCGAGUGUCGGGGCCACGACCACUCGGCAAAGAAUUUUUCUUUAAAAAAGAAAAGACACUUUGCCGAGUGCUGAUGCUAGGGGCACUAGGCAAAGUAUUUUUAAAAAAAACAAAUAUGCGGAGUGCCGCGGCAAGGGACACUCAGCAAAUAUUUUUUUUUUAAAAAAAAAGAAAGAAAAUCUUUGUCGAGUGCCUGAGGCCAGAGGCACUUGGCAAAGCAAUUUUUUUUAAAAAAACUUUGCCGAGUGUUAAGGGGCCAGGGGCACACGGUAAAAUAUUUUUUAAAAAACAAAAACUUUGUCGAGUGUCGUGUCGGGCAACUCGGCAAAAUAACUGUUAACGGCAGAUGCUGUGACGGCCAAAAAUGUUGCCGAGUGCUGUCGUAAGCACUCAGUAAAAUGUUUUUAAUAUUUUGCUAAGUGCCUCGGUAAAAAGCACUCAGCAAAGUCUCUUUGUCGAAAAUUUUUUUGCCGAGCGAACUUUGCUGAGUGCUACGUUCGGCAAAGCCUUUGCCGAGUGCAAAGGGCUCUUUGUCGAAUGUAAAAACACUCGGCAAAGUCCUAAUUUCCAGUGGUGGGUGUGCUGGGACAAUUUAGAAAGCAAGCAACGAUUUCAUUUUGCGUUAGAUCACUCCCAUCCUCGAAGCCUCAGUUUUUUUUUUCAGAAAUAAGUUCCAGCUGUUGCUGCUGAGAACUAAAAGAAGCUUUUCACCCUUGAUUGAUCAAUGGAUUGGCUCUCUAGUUUAACAGGCUUCUUUGUUGUACUCUUUUUGCUCUUUUUUCCUUAGUUUUUUUGUUCCUUAGUUAAGACUCCACCCUACUGCCUCCUUAACUGUUGUGCUUUUUUUUUUGUAAAAGACCUUUUUUAUUAUAAUUUUUGCAUUGUUGUAGGGGUGCAAACCCCUCCAAUCUCCUUCAAAAAAUUCAAAAGUAAUAUAACCUUGCAGAACAAAGGACGGUAAUCCCACCAUUUUGCUAUGUGAGCCCACUCCUCUUAUUUUUUUUACUUUUAUUUUGAUUAUGCCCACUCCUGUUAAGCAGUCAUUUGUUCCAUUCCCUAAAUAUAUUUCUAUUUUUUAGAAUAUUCAAUAAGGCGUAUAUACAUUAUAUUUUAAGAAAUAAACUAUAUUCAAGACAAAUCUACCCACAUCAAUAUUACUUGUAUACAUUCAAAUAAACAUGUAGACAUAAUAAUUCGAUAGUUAAGGUUUCAAAAUGAUUGAAAUAAGACAACUUGAAAUAUGUCACAAUAAAAAAUUAUUUGUGGUCAAAGUUUCUGAAAUUAUUGACUUACGACAACGUACAUCCAAGUGUCACUUAAUUGCUUUGUGAGCAGAGGGAGUAUAUAUUUUGGCAAGUUACCCUCCAUCUAAAAAUAUAAAACACAUGUUUUUAGGACAGUAAGAUUUGACCAAUAGGUGCUUGUGCCAUUAAUAUGCAUAAAUCAUAGAUACUUUUGAAUACAAAUAUCUAGUUACAUCAAUUUGCUACCACAAAAUUGCAAGUAUCUUGGUUAAAGCCAUGUCUAACAAAACAUGAGCUUUGGGAUGGAUAUAUAUCAUAUUGGUGUGUACGUUUAGUAGUCUCUCUUCGUUUCAAUUUAUUAGAUGUUGUUUUGGCUUUUGUAGAUACAAAAAUUUUUUUAUGUAUCUAGAUAACGUUUAUUAUGAUAUAGAUAUAUCGUAUAUCUAUAUGCCUAAAAAACUGAAUAUCUAGAAAAACUAAAAUAACCUAUAAUUUAGGAUAGAGGGUGGUAAUAAUUAUACAUCUUCUGCUACCAAGUCCCUUAAUUACAGCACACAGCUCUGUUUUCUAGUUGCCUUGAUCGUUCAUCAGAUGAAUUAUGUAUUUGAAGAGUAGCGCGUGUGUGGUCAUGUCAUGAAAACGUGCUAGCUAGGUACUUGUUUUAAUUUCCACCGUGUGAGUAUUUUUUUUUUUCAAGUGGCGAGAGUUCAUUAAUUAAAUAAAACCAUUCAAUUUUUCAAAUCACAAUACGUUGUCUGCAAAUCCUCUGAGUCAGCCAGUUUUUCGUUACGUGCUAUACUCCGUCCAUUCUAAAUUAUGUUUUUUAAACUUUUUGGUAUAUUCAUUUUGCUACAUACUAAAAAAAUUAAAAAUAACUUAUAAUUUAGAACAGAAGAGGUAUAUAUAUAGUUGCAUAUAUGCUGACAAGUGUUUGGGGGAGAAUAGAGCAGUAACUCUCUUGACCAAGCGUUUGGGAGUCAUGGAACACAGUCACAUGGCGCAUGCAUGCGUAACAACAAUUUGGAAACAAAGAGAUGUGUGUGUGCAUGUAGCAGUGAUCGAACUAGUACAAACCACAGGAGCGAGAGGAAACGUACACGGACAUAAAUAAUAAACACCGCACAUAGUGCAUGCACUCAAAAAUAAACCCAACAAGCAAAAGUACAUCUCUCACACACACAUGUACACACGCACGUACGUACAUACGCUAAGAUGCAAGCGUAUCACAGCGUACACGACGACACGUACGUACAUACGGAGAGAUUUUUAUUCAGUAGUACGACGUAGCAGUAGUAGACAACUCAUCAUCUCAUCAUAUCAGGCGUAGAUAGAUACUCAUCCAUGGUCGAUGCUCCGGCGCCGAUCGACGACGACGGCGGCGGCGGCGGAAUGGAUCAUCGAUCGAUCGAUCAUCGUUUAGGUUUAGUUCACCCUGCAUGAUCAUGCAUGCAUGGAAGACGAAGCACAAGUUAAUUAAACGACUUGAUAUUCAAGUUGAAUCAGACCAUGCAUGCAUGCAAAGUUGCAAACAACUUGUAGUGAUUGGAUCAUUCAUUCAGAUCAUCACUUAAUUACCUGGAGCAGUCGGUGGAGGUGCUGAUGGUGUAGGGGACGCUGACGCCGCACUUGGAGGGGAUGCUGGCGGCGUUGCCGGCGUUGAGGCCGCUGAUGCCACGGGCGGCGUUCUUGAGGCAGUUGCAGGCGGCGCGCCUGUCGGCGGUGGUGCGGGCGGCGGAGUUGAGGCUCCUGACGCCGCUGCAGCAGCCUGCUGAGGGUGCGGAGCCCUGGCCCCGGGCGUAGGACAGGCAGGGCGCGAUGGCCGAGCUCACCUGCCCGCAGGAGAUGGCCGCCUCCGAGGUCGUCGCCGCCAGCACCACCACCGCCGCCGCCGCCACCACGGCGAUCGCCACAGCAAGCCGAGCCAUGUCGUCGAUGUUCUGGGGGUGUCUGAGACUUGCUUGUACUAGCUUUGGAAUGCAAGUGAGCAAGUGCUAGCCGCUGGUGAGGAGAGUGAGAUGGAGUGUGGCUCCUUAAAUAGGCAGGCUUGCGAUCGAUCUGAUCUGAUCUGAUCUGGGAGCUAGCUACAGUAGCUUGUCAUUGCUGAUGACAGAUGU